rnacentral:rRNA from 1 species
UACGGAGGGUGCAAGCGUUAUCCGGAAUCAUUGGGUUUAAAGGGUCCGCAGGCGGAAGAAUAAGUCAGUGGUGAAAUCUCACAGCUCAACUGUGAAACUGCCAUUGAUACUGUUUUUUCUUGAAUUCGAUCGAAGUGGGCGGAAUGUGACAUGUAGCGGUGAAAUGCUUAGAUAUGUCACAGAACACCGAUAGCGAAAGGCAGCUCACUAGGUCUGGAUUUGACGCUCAGGGACGAAAGCGUGGGGAGCAAACAGG